rnacentral:lncRNA from 1 species
GGUUUAAUAUAUAUUUAUUACAUAUUCUUGACACACAAGAGAAUUUGUAGAUUUCAGAUAUAUUUUGAAAAUGUUUACAAAUCACAAUAAUACAAAUCAGAUGUUUUUUUUUUUAAAUUAACCCCUUUGUCUUCAUUAUCUAUGAAGAGCGUGCCUAGCUAUAUUUAUUAAAUGUAAUAUUUAUGGAUAAAAGAAAGAUUAAAAUCUAUUUUCACUGUUUGAUGAAACACAGAAUAACAUUCCAUUUUUGUUUUACAUGGUAUCCAUGAAUUAUAUUACAAAAUAUUUAAAUUAAUUUCAAGUUUAUUGGUUUAAACUAUUUAUUGUAAGAGGUUUAUGCAAAAAGAAUUUAUACAGAAUACAUCAAAAAUCAAUUUAAUCUUUACUUUCUACUGAGCAACACUGAAUGUGAUGUGUGAACAUAUACUGAAAAAUAAAAAAUAAAGUCAAAAUUAGAUUUUUAUAGUACAUUUUUAAAUAUGUUUUUGUAUAAUAUAAGGAUUUUUUUUCUCCCAGGGUUUUUAAACUACAAUAAUUUUAUACCACGACACAGAGACGCACAUAUUGCUUCAAAUACAAAUCCUUUCAUAAUAAUUAUACCUUGAUUUGAAGACUAACGCCAAUUAUUUCAUGUUUUAUCAGAUAUGGGUAAAAACAUACGUCAGAGAUUAGUUUUUUUUUAACUAUUUGCAGUAAAUAAACAAUGCUUAUAUUUACAUGAAAAGCCUACCAUCCUCUUUUCUUGCGUGCAAGAAUGCAGUACAAAUUAUUCUCUGUUUUAUUGGUUGUGAAUUAAAAAAAAAAAUCUAAAUAUGAAUUACCUGUCCUUUGGCAUAUAUAUGGGUCAUCUUUAAAGUAUUAUUUUUUAUUAUCAAAGGAAAUUGAGCACCAAAAAAAUUUAAAUACAAAUAAAUUACUUCUGCAUGCAAACAUAAAUAAUAAUUAUGAAAAUGUAGGCACCCUAUGGUUGCAUGGCUGACAAAGACUCAUUUCAUCAUGCCUGGACAGUAUUUUCAUACCUACAUCUGAGUUACACAGUAAUGUCUGUGUUAAGAAGGAAGUAUGUUUAGUUACAGAUUGCCUUGCAGUAAUUCUUUAUUUUCAUAUACUAGUCAGAUUGGAUCAGAUUGCUGGACCAUCUUUCCAACACAGGGUGCUUAGGAGUUCUUGUGUCUUGGGUCCUUCAAUAAACCUCUAUACGGCUUCCCUCCAUCCUGUGUUGCAAUUAGUUGGUGUCAAUAAUAAAUGCAAUUAAGUGGUAGUGCUAGAAUCAAUAUACAUUACACUAUCAAAGCUUUUUUAAGAUUCAACUGAGGAAAAAAUAUAAAUAUGAAUUAUUAAAGUGACGUUUUACUGUGACUACGUAGAAGAUGGGUUAUUGUAAGUUCUAGGGCUGUGUUAUAAAUUCCAUUACAUUCUGUUAACACCUAACAGCCAACAUGUUCUUAUUAAUUUAUACAAGAUCAUGUAGUAAAUGUAAAAUACUCUGUACUAUAACAUUCCAACCAAUUUUUUUUUAAUUCGAUUUACUUAUAUAAAUGAGGACACAAUGGAGCUAUUUAUUGGCCCUAACAAGGUUAAAUGAGUGUGUAACAUGCAGGACUCUUUAAAACAACACCAACUACAAUAAACCAUGUACCACUCGAUCACAUAACAUCGUUCAGAUAAAAGGUAUAAUCACAAAGACAAAGUCUGUUUAAUUUGACAUAUUAGACGAAAUAACAUUUUAUGGAACAUUACUUGACAAUUCAAAUAUUUGUUUUAAAUGAAAUAGAUCAUAUAUUUGUGAAAGAAAAUAAAAAAUAAAAUUUGAGAAUGAAUAUUUCACCGCUCAUAAACGGAAAAUGUAAACCAAUAAGACUAACCUCACUUUUCCAGUAUCAAGCCAAAGGUAGUAACCUUCAUAGUAUUGCUUUUUGGGCCUACCUGUAAAAUUUCUCUUUGUUUAGUAAAUAUUUGUUUUGGAAUCUAUCUAAUAAACUAGCUUUCCUUGGGAGGCACAUUAGUCAUGCAUCCACAGGUAUUUGGAUAUAUACAUUUUAAAAAAUCUUUUAAGAAUAAAACUUUAGAAGAUUUAAUUCAGUUGUUAUAAUGCUAUGUUUUGACUCAGGCUAGGAUCAUAGCAUUAGCUUGAAAACAUGUUCUUCAGCUGUAAAACUAGCUCAAUAAUCUAUUCUUCAUUAAUAACGCAUACCAAUAUAAU